CAGCAAACAUUGUAUCUCAAUAAACUAUAUAUUGCUCUUGCUUUCUUUUACUGCUGUUAAUUGUGGUGUUAUUAUUUCUAAUAUAAGUGUGUUAUCAUUGUAGUGUAUAAGUGAUAUUAAUUUAAGAUACCAACCACUACAAUAUCUACAAAGAAAUUCGUCGUUUGCUUUUUAAUUUAGUUAAUUCUAUGACAGUUGGUAAUAAAAAAAUUAAAAAAAAAAAAAGCAUUUGAUGGUAAAGUAGAACCUUAUGAUAUCAGCAAAGUUCAAUGAUGAAAAAAAAAAUUCCCGAUAAAAUAAAAAAAUGGCUGCAGUGUGUGUUUGUUUACAUGGAAUAGUGCCGGUUUUAACAGAAAUGAUUUAUUUAAAAAAAAACGAGAGGGUCUACAGUAGUGAUUUUCGAAAAGAACCUUCUUUGCAUAAUUCUGAAGACAGUGAAAAAAAAAUAAAGUCAUUUAGUCAAGCUGUCACGGAAUAUCCGUGCCACAGACUUUUUUUGGACUACAGACUAACUGACGUCCACGAUACAUAUUUUUUAUUGAACUUUUUUUUAUUAUAAUACGUAUCGGACAACUUAAUGAAAGUAUCAGUCUUAUUAAUUAGUGUUUUCUCUUUAGGUUGAUGGGCUUUUUAUAACGUGUGAGUGUGACAUAAAAAUAAUAUAUACAGUUUAAUGAGGAAAAGUCAAGUGACCUUGACAGGUCCGUUAUAAAGCACAACCUCGCCGCUUCGCGUUCGAGGCGCGCAAUUAAUUUUUCCUGUAUAGACAAUAAAUUUUAGUAUUUAUUUUAUAAUUAUUUACGUUUGAAUUGUAAAUGAAAGAAUUAUUAUUCAGAAUGAUACUAUUUACUGAUGACCGUCAUUAUGUUAUUUGUCGCCUCUUAAUGUACACAGAUGUUAAUUGGUGGUGCAGUUAGCUAUGUUGUUGGUAAACAAGCAGUCAGAACCGUUCAUUGGUGAACGUUAAACAUUGGACGUUUACUUAAAACAGUUAAAACGUUUAUGUUCGAAGGGCCACCGAAAUCGGUGCCAUCUUCAACUUCAGCAAUUCCAGGCCAAUCAACUAUCGACGUACUACACGUAGAAAAAAGACACAUCGGGCCGUCAGACAUUGGAAAGAACUCGCGCGCGGGAGAUCAGGUUUCGAAUCUCGGUUGAAACAAGUGAUUUUUUAAAAAACAAAAAUCCACACCAACACCAAUACAGAUGAUAG